UACGAAGGGGGCUAGCGUUGCUCGGAAUGACUGGGCGUAAAGGGCGCGUAGGCGGUUUGUACAGUCAGAUGUGAAAUUCCUGGGCUCAACCUGGGGGGCUGCAUUUGAUACGUGCAGGCUUGAGUGUGGAAGAGGGUCGUGGAAUUCCCAGUGUAGAGGUGAAAUUCGUAGAUAUUGGGAAGAACACCGGUGGCGAAGGCGGCGACCUGGUCCAUUACUGACGCUGAGGCGCGAAAGCUAGGGGAGCAAACAGG
rnacentral:rRNA from 1 species